AGAGUUUGAUCCUGGCUCAGGAUGAACGCUAGCUACAGGCUUAACACAUGCAAGUCGCGGGGCAGCAUGUUGGUUGCUUGCAACCGAUGAUGGCGACCGGCGCACGGGUGAGUAACGCGUAUCCAACCUGCCUAUUACCACGGGAUAACCCGGCGAAAGUCGGACUAAUACCGUAUGCGGUCCUCCAAUGGCAUCAGCAGUGGACUAAAGGUUUGGCGGUAAUAGAUGGGGAUGCGUCCGAUUAGCUAGUUGGUGAGGUAAUGGCUCCCCAAGGCUUCGAUCGGUAGGGGUUCUGAGAGGAAGGUCCCCCACACUGGAACUGAGACACGGUCCAGACUCCUACGGGAGGCAGCAGUGAGGAAUAUUGGUCAAUGGGCGGAAGCCUGAACCAGCCAAGUAGCGUGCAGGAUGACGGCCCUAUGGGUUGUAAACUGCUUUUAUGCGGGGAUAAAGUGGGGAACGUGUUCUCUAUUGCAGGUACCGCAUGAAUAAGGACCGGCUAAUUCCGUGCCAGCAGCCGCGGUAAUACGGAAGGUCCGGGCGUUAUCCGGAUUUAUUGGGUUUAAAGGGAGCGUAGGCCGCCCCUUAAGCGUGUUGUGAAAUGCGGGUGCUCAACAUCCGACUUGCAGCGCGAACUGGGGGGCUUGAGUGCGCCGAAAGUAGGCGGAAUUCGUGGUGUAGCGGUGAAAUGCUUAGAUAUCACGAAGAACUCCGAUUGCGAAGGCAGCUUACUGUAGCGCAACUGACGCUGAUGCUCGAAAGCGUGGGUAUCGAACAGGAUUAGAUACCCUGGUAGUCCACGCGGUAAACGAUGGAUGCUCGUUGUCGGCCCCUUGGGUCGGUGACCAAGCGAAAGCGUUAAGCAUCCCACCUGGGGAGUACGCCGGCAACGGUGAAACUCAAAGGAAUUGACGGGGGCCCGCACAAGCGGAGGAACAUGUGGUUUAAUUCGAUGAUACGCGAGGAACCUUACCCGGGCUUGAAAUGCUAUCGACCGACGGAGAGAUUCGUUAUCCAGCAAUGGCGAUAGUGUAGGUGCUGCAUGGUUGUCGUCAGCUCGUGCCGUGAGGUGUCGGCUUAAGUGCCAUAACGAGCGCAACCCUUGCCAAUAGUUACCAGCAUUAAGAUGGGGACUCUAUUGGGACUGCCACCGUAAGGUGCGAGGAAGGUGGGGAUGACGUCAAAUCAGCACGGCCCUUACGUCCGGGGCGACACACGUGUUACAAUGGGGAGUACAGAGGGUUGCUACACCGCGAGGUGAUGCUAAUCCCUUAAAACUUUUCUCAGUUCGGAUCGGAGUCUGCAACUCGACUCCGUGAAGCUGGAUUCGCUAGUAAUCGCGCAUCAGCCAUGGCGCGGUGAAUACGUUCCCGGGCCUUGUACACACCGCCCGUCAAGCCAUGGAAGUUCGGGGUACCUGAAGUCGGUGACCGUAAAAGGAGCUGCCUAGGGUAAAACGAGUAACUAGGGCUAAGUCGUAACAAGGUAGCCGUACCGGAAGGUGCGGCUG
rnacentral:rRNA from 1 species